rnacentral:rRNA from 1 species
GACAGAGGUGCCGAGCGUUAGGCGGAAUCACUGGGCUUAAAGCGUGUGUAGGCGGAUGCCUAAGUACCUUGUGAAAUCCCACGGCUCAACCGUGAAACUGCUCGGUAUACUGGGCGUCUUGAGCCACUUAGGGGCAACCGGAACGAAGCGGUGGAGCGGUGAAAUGCGUAGAUAUCGCUUGGAACGCCGAAGGUGAAAACA